rnacentral:rRNA from 1 species
AUUGAACGCUGGCGGCAGGCUUAACACAUGCAAGUCGAGCGGGGGCUUCGGUCCUAGCGGCGAACGGGUGAGGAAUGCUUGGGAAUCUGCCUGGUAGUGGGGGAUAACGUUUCGAAAGGAACGCUAAUACCGCGUACGUCCUACGGGAGAAAGUGGGGGAUCUUCGGACCUCACGCUAUCAGAUGAGCCUAGGUACGAUUAGCUAGUUGGUGGGGUAAAGGCUCACCAAGGCGACGAUCGUUAACUGGUCUGAGAGGAUGAUCAGUCACACUGGAACUGAGACACGGUCCAGACUCCUACGGGAGGCAGCAGUGGGGAAUAUUGGACAAUGGGCGAAAGCCUGAUCCAGCCAUGCCGCGUGUGUGAAGAAGGUCUUCGGAUUGUAAAGCACUUUAAGUUGGGAGGAAGGGCAGUAAGUUAAUACCUUGCUGUUUUGACGUUACCGACAGAAUAAGCACCGGCUAACUUCGUGCCAGCCGCCGCCGUAAAAC